rnacentral:pre_miRNA from 1 species
CAGUUAUCACGGUACCGGUGCUGUUUCUUCAAGAGGUACAGUACUGUGAUAACUGAA